rnacentral:rRNA from 1 species
AACACAUGCAAGUCGAGGGGCAGCAUAAUGGAUAGCAAUAUCUAUGGUGGCGACCGGCGCACGGGUGCGUAACGCGUAUGCAACCUACCUUUAACAGGGGGAUAACACUGAGAAAUUGGUACUAAUACCCCAUAAUAUCAUAGAAGGCAUCUUUUAUGGUUGAAAAUUCCGAUGGUUAGAGAUGGGCAUGCGUUGUAUUAGCUAGUUGGUGGGGUAACGGCUCACCAAGGCGACGAUACAUAGGGGGACUGAGAGGUUAACCCCCCACACUGGUACUGAGACACGGACCAGACUCCUACGGGAGGCAGCAGUGAGGAAUAUUGGUCAAUGGACGCAAGUCUGAACCAGCCAUGCCGCGUGCAGGAUGACGGCUCUAUGAGUUGUAAACUGCUUUUGUACGAGGGUAAACGCAGAUACGUGUAUCUGUCUGAAAGUAUCGUACGAAUAAGGAUCGGCUAACUCCGUGCCAGCAGCCGCGGUAAUACGGAGGAUUCAAGCGUUAUCCGGAUUUAUUGGGUUUAAAGGGUGCGUAGGCGGUUUGAUAAGUUAGAGGUGAAAUUUCGGGGCUCAACCCUGAACGUGCCUCUAAUACUGUUGAGCUAGAGAGUAGUUGCGGUAGG